ensembl:lncRNA
GUUAUUUAGCCUCUGAAGAAAUAACCAUAGUGUCAAUAUGAUAUUUGUGGUGGAGAUUUCCCACUCUCUACAUUUAUAUUAGAGUCCUACAAAUACAAUUGCUUUUAGAUGCUAGACAACAUAUGCUAGGUUUACGGCAGUCUAGUAAUUUCAUCUGUUCUUUUCCAUUUUGAAUGGCAGAUGUGGCUUCUACACACCCCACGUGCUCCUUUGCUACCCCAGCUGAUGCUUCCUGUCAUAUUUCAGAAGCACCACAGUGCAGGAAGGGACAAGAAAACCACCAGCCCUAUUAAACGGUGCUCGGUUUAUCCCGGCACAAGCCAGAGCAGGAGGAACACUCCGGCUUCCAGCAAUCUGCAAAGAAGUUCUCUGCUAGGUCAUGCCUCGCCCCUCCUGCCGCAAGCCCGAUGGAGCCUGAGAGCAUUUCUCCAGCCAAUGCACGCCCGGCUGCAACGAUGCAAAAAGCCCAGGGGUGCUGACGAUGCAGGGGAUCCCCUGGGGACACUGCUGGGCCUCUGGGGGCUCCCGGUGGAGCAGCAGGAGCCCAGGGGCCGCUCGGAAAGGGCUGGAAGUUGGACUCUGCGUUGGCCAGCAGGUGCCUGCUGUGAUCGUUUUUCUUCCGAAGCGCCUGGAGGUGUCCCUGUGUCAGCACAACUGCCUUCCAGCUUUCUUGAACGAUUUUCUCACGGAAGAGGGUCCCCUUUCGACAGUAGGAGGCGUUUCUCUCCAGUUCUCUGCCCAUGUCUUCGGCCAUCGUCUUGUAUAAGUUUCGAAUCGGAGACACGGACUUCAUGUUUCUCCGCGUGGUGCAAAGUUGCUUCUCGAUUUCGAAGCAGCGCGUUUCCUCCUCAGACAGUUUUCUCUGGAGUCGCCUGAGGUUCUCUGGAUACAAAUCGGGCAGAAUUUGAAGCUGCAGCUUCAGCUGCUGAAUCUCACUCUCAAGCUGCGAAUGUUCCUGCCGCAAAGAGGCUUCCUCAGCUUGCAGGCUUAUUAUUUGCCUCGUGAGCUCUUCCUUCAUUCGCUUUUCUUCCCACAAUUGUCUGGCUAUUUCCCGACUCUUCGCUUCCGCACUUUGAAGGGACCCGUUGAAAUCAGCAUCCUCAGCGACGCCCUUCGGAUCAGCCUUUGACCAUCUCUGAGCGUCUCCUGCUUCCUUGACCGUCUCUGAGCGUCUCCUGCUUCCUUCUUUCGCUCGACUUCCCCGGGGACGUGACCCAAGUGAGCUCCAAGGAGAUCGGGCCAGGGGCUGGUCUUCGGCAGGUUUCCAGUCCUUGAUGCGAAUCGGCUGGCUGUCGCUUUCAGAGCCCGCUGCAUCCGUGUGCGCCACGGCUGCGCCUUCUUUCUCCUGCUCCUUCCCCUACCCCCCCCCCCCGCCCCCCGCGUCUCUGCUUCCGUUUGGCAGUUUCUUGGGCAAGCGGUUCUGGACCUUCUGGAACGUGGGAGUUUGCAUUCAAAUCAUCCAUUAUUUUCUUCUGAAGUUGUUCUCCCUCCUUCUCUGACGCUUUGAACGUGGGGGUGUCGCCAGUCACUUGGGGAAGCUCAGGAGGCUGGCGCUUCUGAGCCUUUUCCAGAAAGUCAACGGGGUCCUGGAGUGACAGGCACAAGGUUUGUAUUUAUGGCUGACAGGCACAAGGUUUGUGAUGGGAGAGGACUGGCCUCCCCCCCAGGCCGCCCUAGGGCAACGUCAGCUUGGGUCAUUGGUCCCCACACUCCCACUGCGCGUUCCACAGACCUCAGUGUGGGCAGAACACCUUUUGCCUAGUGCCUUGACACUUCCUAAGAUGCGUCGUCUCUUCACUGUCAAAAAUAGCACCGCCAUACACACCAGGAUCUCCCAGGGGAACUCACGGGGACCGGGACGUGUCUCCAGCCUUCA